GUGCUCGUUUCCACAGUACAUAUAAUAAAAUUGGAAAGAUACAGAGAUUAGCAUGGCCCCUGUGCGAGGAUGACAAGCAAAUCGUGAAGCGUUCAGUAUUUUU
rnacentral:snRNA from 1 species